AUUGAACGCUGGCGGCAGGCCUAACACAUGCAAGUCGAGCGGCAGCGGGAAAGUAGCUUGCUACUUUUGCCGGCGAGCGGCGGACGGGUGAGUAAUGCCUGGGGAUCUGCCCAGUCGAGGGGGAUAACUACUGGAAACGGUAGCUAAUACCGCAUACGCCCUACGGGGGAAAGCAGGGGACCUUCGGGCCUUGCGCGAUUGGAUGAACCCAGGUGGGAUUAGCUAGUUGGUGAGGUAAUGGCUCACCAAGGCGACGAUCCCUAGCUGGUCUGAGAGGAUGAUCAGCCACACUGGAACUGAGACACGGUCCAGACUCCUACGGGAGGCAGCAGUGGGGAAUAUUGCACAAUGGGGGAAACCCUGAUGCAGCCAUGCCGCGUGUGUGAAGAAGGCCUUCGGGUUGUAAAGCACUUUCAGCGAGGAGGAAAGGUUGGUAGCUAAUAACUGCCAGCUGUUACGUUACUCGCAGAAGAANCACCGGCUAACUCCGUGCCAGCCGCCGCAGUAAUAC
rnacentral:rRNA from 1 species